CCAAUGGCGGAGCCUGUUGGGCCGACGGAUCGAGACGGCCGGCCACGAACCGCUCUCGUCGCCGGCCGCCGUCGUUCGUUCCUCGGUCGUGUCGUCGCCGCUUCCUCCAAAGUCCAAACCCUACGCCGCCGGGCGACGGCGUCCUCCUCCGCCCACCCGUCACCUCCCAUGCCGCCUCCGCUUCCUCUCUCACGAAGGCGAGCGCCGUGGCUUCCACGGCCUCGCUCUCCGCGGCAUCCAAUGGCGCCGCCGCUUUUGGGGGUGACCUAAUCGCUGCCUGCCCACCACGGCGUGCUCCGCCGCGCCGAGGCCGCUGGUCGCCCUUCCCGCCGCCUAGCCUGCGUCGACGAUCUCACCAUGGCCUCUCCGGUGGUCGACUGCCGACCCCUUGCCGCGUCAGGAUUCGUCGUUUUUCACAUACUGCGGGAUUUCGGAAAAUGCCAAGCGCCUUUUCUGCUGUGUGCCUGCCAAGCUUGUAAGUUCGUUAGGCGCUGCUCAAAACCACUCAACACGCUAGGUAAUUUCUGGUGCUUAAUUCAUAGUAUAGCUGGUGUGAUCUGGGCAUACCCUGUAUACCUGUUACGGCAGCUCCUUUUCGUGUCAUCAACUCAACAUGCCAACAUAUUUCGUGUAGAUGCUCUGUUUGCCUCAUUGAUUCCUACAUCUACUGCUAAACCUUUAUUUUGUUUGAAUCUUGCUUAUAUAUACUAAAACAGAAUAUGUGGAACAAACCUCUAUGUAACAUUUGCCGGAACAAUCAUUUGCAGGUGCUUCCUUCUAUCUGUAGGGAACUAACUUUUCUCUUAACUAAUCUUUUCAGUGGUACCGAUAAAGAGUGUUGAAAAUUUGGAAUAUUGUGUCUGUGUAAAUUCUCAGGGAUUUAUUCAAAACUGUUCAACUUGGGUAACAAAAUUAGAAUUGUUCCAUGCAACAUGAUUCGCACAACAUAGGCCAAUGUCGCUGACACAAAUGUCUAGCCUAUUGAUUCUGACUGAUGCCGAUGUGCUGUACAGCAAUCUUCCUUGACACUGCCUUUAACCUCAUCUCUCUUAGAUCUACCUAUUGCUGUGUCAAAAAAUUUUAUCGCAUAUUACAAGGGUUCUAUUCUUUGAUCUUACAUCUUAGUGCUUAUACAUUUAGUGGGUGGUUAGUUUAACUUCUUUACAUUGAUCAUGAUAUUUAUGACUGCAAGAUUUUGGGGGGCAUAUUUAAGGUCGAUAUGGAAAUAGUCAAGCAUAUGGUCAUAAUUCAUCAUGUUGUAUGUCCCAAUGCUUACUGUUUCUUAAUGCUUUACCCGGCAUUUGAUAUGCUUAUUACUUUUUAAUUAGAUAUCACUAAACAAGCCUUCUCACUGUUGAGCUCCUGGAAUUCCUUUUAUUUCUUUAAUUUUUUCAUUGUUUAGUGUUGGUGAUUCAAUAUGUUACAUGCCUGCUAUUGCUGCCAUUGUGUGCCACAACUUUUCUGUUUAUGUGAGACUUUUUGCAGGGUGCAAAGCAACAUCUAGGUGCCUAGGGUGUGAAAAUUUUCAGUAUUUCUUGUUUAGUUCAGUUUCAACCUAUCAUUUAGUUACUCCCGUACCUUCCCUAGCUAAGUUUGCUAGAUCCAUUUGUCAAUCAUGGGAUGCUAUUUUCUCAGAGGAAGAAAGCAAAAGGAAUCAACCAUCUUUCUUAUCACCCUCUUUCUGUCACAUGUAUGUCAUUUCUCUCCAGCCAAGCUGUCCUGUUCCUGUUCCAUAUUUUGUGCAAUCCUAUCCCCUUCAUCCCAACCCCAGCUGCAGGAUGAAAGGGGCUUGGCUAUUAAACCAUGCCUAUCUUCCUAGUUUGUUCUCUGUCGCGGGCUCAUAAAAUAUGCAAUAGAUUAAGUAACGGUAAGAAGUAAACCCUAGAAAUAUUUUUUUUUCAAAAGGUUGGACCAUCUGACUUCUGAGUACAUAUCCCUAUUCUCUUUUUGUCAAAAAAAAUGUAGGUCCCACUGGGAUUCGAACCCAGGUUGCCAGAUUCAAAGUCUGGAGUGAUAACCGCUACACCAUGGAACCAUUUUAUGUGUUUUCUCCCUAGAUAAUAUAUUUAUGAUAGCACGUCCCUGUAGCACCAUGUUGUUUUUCUUCUGUUAGCCGUUCCCAAUAAAUCGCAAGGAAUAGGCUGAUUUCUGUAGUUUAACUGAUGCACCUUGCUGCUUUAUUCAGUGCUAUUUAGGAAACAAAUUUGACUGAAGGGAUUGUUCCUCUCCAAAUCAACUUUUUAUUAUUAUUUUUCAAUCAUUCAUUGUCAUAUCUACAGUCAGACUGUUGAGUUUUGGCAUGAACUUGUGCUUGCCUCCAUUUUCAGCAUCUUCUUUUGUUAUGCCAGCAACUGGGUUUUACUAUACCUGAUUCUUUCCUGUUUCUGAGUCUAAAGAGAUUAUGGAGCUGUUAAUGAUGCACAACUUUGUCAAUUGUUUGUACCAUGUCAAUAGACUGAUUAAGAAAUACAAUAUCUUGGCUUGAGUGAGAUAUAUUUGCAGUUCAUUGAGAAAUGUAUGGUGUGUCAACUUGUAGUGCAAAUAGGUAAUAACAUAUUCAAAGUCAUGUGGGAAAUAGCACCAGUCAAUGUUGAAGAAUUACCAAGCUUGCUUAUCGCCUUUCCCACUCUCAACUAUGUUGUUUCUCUCCAGCUAAGCUGUCCUCGACUCCUCGUGUUCCAUUUUGUGCGCAACUCCUAUCACCUCCAUCAUAAUCCUGGCUGUAGGAUAGAAUGCCAUGAAUAUUUGCUGAUCUACAUCCUGCUUUUCCUACUACGCUCUCUAUCCCAAGCACAUUAAGCAUGCAAUGGAUUAAAAAUUUCAGCAAAUGAUGAAAAUUUUCUGAAUGCAUUAGCAUUAAGGGGCCGUUUGGGAGGGCUUCUCCCAAACGGCUUCACUAGUGAAGCUCAAAAAACUGGAUUCACCCGGCUUCUAGUCCAUUUACCCCGAGCUAACAAAACGGCUUCACACUGCAAUUCUGCGAUUUGCGCAAAAUAGGUGAAGCCGAAGUUGGGAUAAGCUCUCCCUAACAGCCCCUAAAGUGAACCUGGAAAAGUUAAUUGUUUGUUUAAAAAAAGUUUGUAUCUUUUGAGCUCCUUUUUACGAAAAGCUAAUUGGGUUUCCAAAAGUUUGGAUCUUUUGAAUGGCAUAUCACAAAUUCUCCUUUGUAAAAAGGGUAGGUCCCACCGGGAUUCGAACCCAGGUUGCCAGAUUCAAAGUCUGGAGUGAUAACCACUACACCAUGGAACCGUUUUAUGUUUCUUCUCCCUAGAUUAUAUAUUUAUGAUAGCACAUCCCCAUAGCACCAUAUUGGUUUUCUUCUGUUUGCCAUUCCCAGUAAAUCGCAAGGAAUAGGCUAAUUUCUGUAAUUUAACUGAUGCACCUUGCUGCAUUAUUGAGUGCUAUUUAGGAAUUGAAUUCGACUGAAGGGAUAAUUUCUCUCCAAUUCAUUGUUUUUCUACUCUUAAAUCAUCCAUUGCCAUAUCUGCACUCAGACUGUAGAGUUUUGGCAUGAACUUUUGCUUGCCUCCAUUUUCAGCAUCUUUUUUCUGUUUUGCCAGCUACUGGGUUUUACUAUACCUGAUUUUUUCCUGUUUCUGAGUCUAAACAGAUUAUGGGACUGUUAAUGAUGGAUGACUUUGUCAAUCGGUUGUACCAUGUCAAUAAAGUGAUUUGGAAAUACAAUAUCUUGGCUUGAGUGAGACAUAUUUGCAAUUCAUUGAGAAAUGUAUGGUGUCAAACUUCUAGUGCAAAUCUGUAAUAUAUUGAGAGUCAUGUGGGAAAUAGGACCAGUGAAUGUUGUAGAAUUACCCAGCUUGCUUAUCGCUUUUCUCACUCUCAAGUAUGUUGUUUCUCUCCAGCCGAGCUGUCCUCUUGUUCCAUUUUACGUACAACUCCUAUCACUUCCAUCUUAAUCCCCGCUGUAGGAUAGAAUGCCACAAAUAUUUGCUGAUCUACAUCCCGCUUUUCCUACUAUGUUCUCUAUCCCAAGCUCAUUAAGUAUUCAAUGGAUUAAAAGCUGGAGCAAAUGAUGAAAUUUUUUUGAAUGUUUCAAGAGGCUGUUUGGGAGGGUUUCUCCCAAACGGCUUCACUAGUGAAGGUGAAGCCAAACCUGGUGAAGCCAGAAAAAACUGACAUCCAUCUUCUAGUUCAUUUUACACUGAGCUCACAAAAUGGAUUCACUAUAGUUUCUCGAUUUGCGCAAAACAAGUGAAGCCGAAGUUGGGAUAAGUUCUCCCAAACAGUCCCUAAAGUGAACCUGGAAAAGUUAAUUGUUUUUUUUUCAAAAAGUUUGGAUCUUCUGAGCUCCUUUUUACCAAAAGCUAAUUGGGUUUCCAAAAGUUUGGAUCUUUUGAUUGGCAUAACACAAAUUCUCCUUUGAUGUAAAAAGGGUAGGUCCCACCGGGAUUCGAACCCAGGUUGCCAGAUUCAAAGUCUGGAGUGAUAACCGCUACACCAUGGAACCUUUUUAUGUUUUUCUCCCUAGAUUAUAUAUUUAUGAUAGCAAUAAAUUGCAAGGAAUAGGCUAACUUCUGUAAUUUAACUGAUGCACCUUGCUGCGUUAUUGAGUGCUAUUUAGGAAUUGAAUUUGAUUGAAGGGAUAAUUUCUCUCUAAUUCAACAUCUUUUUAUUUUAAAUCAUUCAAUACCAUGUCUGCACUCAGACUGUAGAGUUUUGGCAUGAACUUGUGCUUGUCUCCAUUUUCAGCAUCUUUUUUUGGUUAUGCCAGCUACUGGGUUUUACUAUACCUGAUUCUUUCCUGUUUCUGAGUCUAAAGAGAUUAUGGGGCUGUUAAUGAUGCAGGGCUUUGUCAAUUGGUUUUACCAUGUCAAUAGACUGGCUUGAGUGAGACAUAUUUACAAGUCAUUGAGAAAUGAAUGAUGUGUCAAACUUCUAGUGCAAAUCAGUAGUAUAUUGAAAGUGAUGUGGAAAUAGCACCAGUUAAUGUUGUGAGAAUCACCCACAUAUUUACAAGUCAUUGAGAAAUGUAUGGUGUGUCAAACUUCUAGUGCAAAUCAGUAAUAUAUUGAAAGUGAUGUGGAAAUAGCACCAGUUAAUGUUGUGAGAAUCACCCAGCUUGUCGCCUUUCUCACUUUCAAGUUUGUUGUUUCUCUGCAGCUGAGCUGUCCUCUUGUUCCAUUUUGCAUGCAACUCCUAUCACCUCCAUCUUAAUUCCUGCUAUAGGAUAGAAUGCCACAGAUAUUUGCUGAUCUACACCCCACUGUUUCCGACUAGGUUCUCUAUCCGAAGCACAUUAAGCAUGCAAUGGAUUAAAAAGUGGAGCAAAUGAUGAAAACUUUCUGAAGGUAUUAAAGUGAACCUGGAAAAGCUAUUUUGUUCUAGAAGUUUGGAUCUUCUAAGCUCCUUUUUGGAAAAAGCUAAUUGGAUUUCCAAAAGUUUGGACCUUAUGAAUGGCAAUAUUCACACCCCAUUCUCUCCUUCGAUUUAAAAAGUUUAGGUCCCACCGGGAUUCGAACCCAGGUUGCCAGAUUCAAAGUCUGGAGUGAUAACCACUACACCAUGGAACCAUUUUAUGUAUGCAGUUCCUGGAUAAUAGUUUUUAUUGCACAUAUUUGUGGUGCCACAUUUUUGCUUUUUUCUGCCUUUCUCUUGUUGAAUGAUUAGGAAGAGCAGGUUAUCAUUUCGGCAAUAAGGGAGGAAAAUGAUUCGAAGGAAGAGGCAAUUCUCCUCCAAUUUAACGACUUUUUUUAUGAAACAUUUCCUUUCCAUGUCAGUAUUCAGCUUGUGGUUCGUAGUAGAUGGUCUGUUAAGUGCCAUUUCCGCUUAUUACGGUGUGCUCGUGUUGAAUUUGCAUUUUUAUCUCAUCGAUAUGCUAAUCUUUUUAUCUCAAUCUUUGAAGGAUACACGAUAUGCUGAGCUGCUGAUCGGCAAGUCGUGAAAAUCAUCUUGAUGCGCCCUCAGGUUGCUGUCUUUUGGCUUUGGUGUUAUGACGUGCGAUAAGCUGAUCAUGUAUCCAAGUUCAUUUUGUCAUUGAGCAGUGACUUCAAUCAGGAAACAUUAUUGGCACCCCUUUGGUGACAUGGAAAAUAGGGAACUGUAUCACGAGUCCAGAAACUUGAUCUUAUGCACGAUUUUUAGCAGUUAUGAUGCAAAUUAUUGUCUAUUCGAACUCUCUGGACAGGGUGCUAAUUUUGCAUCUGGAAAUUGGUACCUCACUUUAGGUUCUGUAUCCGUCAGCUGAAAAAAUUUAUGAAAAUUUUGUUUAAAUUCUGUUUCA